rnacentral:rRNA from 1 species
CUUAGGUCGACCCGCUGAAUUUAAGCAUAUCAAUAAGCGGAGGAAAAGAAACUAACCAGGAUUCCCCUAGUAACGGCGAGUGAAGAGGGAAGAGCCCAGCACCGAAGCCUGCGGCAGGUUUGCUGCUAGGCAAUGUGGUGUUUGGGUCGGCUAGCGGGACUGCCGCUCCACUCGAAGUCCAGCAUUGAGUAUGGUCACUGGAUUUGGCCCAAAGAGGGUGAGAGGCCCGUACGGGUGGAGGUGCAGACAUGCAAGGCAGUUCACCAGGCCGACCUCAGAGUCGGGUUGUUUGAGAAUGCAGCCCAAAGUGGGUGGUAAACUCCAUCCAAGGCUAAAUACUAGCACGAGUCCGAUAGCGAACAAGUACCGUGAGGGAAAGUUGAAAAGUACUCUGAAGAGAGAGUAAACAGUACGUGAAACCGCAUGCAGGUAAACGGGUGGCGUCAAGCUGCGAGCCCGGAGGAUUCAGCUGACUAGGAUGUAGUGUAUGCGUCUGUGGCAUCUAUUGGCCGGAGUAAGAUGUGGUAGUCCACAGGAAGACUGUGGGCCUGGCCGCAAGGUUGGGAUGUGUUUGCCGGGCGGAGGCCGGAGCACGCUACUCGUCUGUUGGGCCGCCUAGUCAGUGCACUUUCUCUGUGGUGAACACCACGACCGGUGGUAUUGCCAGUCUGCUGUGGCCAAGUCGCGUUUCUACGGUUCUUCCAUGGAUCGUGGGGAUGCGAUCACAGGCAAGCCCUGUAGACGGCGUAGGGGCACCUCGGUGUCGCUGCGUGUCAUCGUCUGCAGGUUGCCAACGGGCAGUGAGCGAGUGUUGUGACCGUCGUCUCUUGUCUGUCUGGUGGGCCACGGUGGUAGGAAUAACUGUGCAAGGCACCGGAGUUCUCCACCUCUUACGUGUCCGAUGCGCGCGUCACAGGCGUGCCUUGAUUGUGCUGCUGCUGCCGCACUGCUGCCCGUCGUUGGGUGUGAUUGUCGUGUUGCCUGCGCAAAGUGGGCCCGGCAGUGAUCUGAUGCAGGUUGGUGUGUGUUUGGCAGUGGCGGUUAUUGUGUCGGAUGCAGUGGGUGAAACAGUCAGUGGUGCUGUGGUAGACGAGCUACCCGACCCGUCUUGAAACACGGACCAAGGAGUUUAACAUGUGUGCGAGUCAAAGGGUCCUACGAAACCCCUAGGCGCAGUGAAAGUGAAUCCUCUUCCUACCUUUGGUGAGAGGUGAGGUGAGAUCCCACCGUUACUCGCAUCCGUUUUGGUCUAGCACCAGGCUAAAGAGCGGUGGGCGCAUCACCGGCCCGUCCCAUGAUGUGGUCGCUUGGUGUCCGAGGUGCCUUUCGGUGUCACGGGUAGCACUGGUGCGUCAUCGGGGCGGAGCAUGAGCAUACAUGUUGAGACCCGAAAGAUGGUGAACUAUGCUUGCGUAGGUUGAAGCCAGAGGAAACUCUGGUGGAGGACCGUAGCGAUUCUGACGUGCAAAUCGAUCGUCAAACGCGAGUAUAGGGGCGAAAGACUAAUCGAACCAUCUAGUAGCUGGUUCCCUCCGAAGUUUCCCUCAGGAUAGCUGGCACUCAUUCGCAUGAUCAGUUUUAUCCGGUAAAGCGAAUGAUUAGAGGUACUGGGUUCGAAACGAGCUCAACCUAUUCUCAAACUUUAAAUGGGUGAGAUGCCCGGCUCGCCUAAUAGGAGUCGGGCGUUGAAUGUGCGAGUGCCAAGUGGGCCAUUUUUGGUAAGCAGAACUGGCGCUGUGGGAUGAACCAAACGCUCGGUUAAGGUGCCUAACGCGACGCUCAUGAGAUACCACAAAAGGUGUUGGUUAAUAUAGACAGCAGGACGGUGGCCAUGGAAGUCGGCAUCCGCUAAGGAGUGUGUAACAACUCACCUGCCGAAUUGACCAGCCCUGAAAAUGGAUGGCGCUGGAGCGUCGGACCUAUACCGGGCCGUCAUCGCAAGCUGGGUCGCUUGCGUAUUUGAAAUUGCGGUGCGAGCGGCAGGCGUGUGUGUGUUUGUGCGUGCACGCGGCCGUCUUGAAGUCAUGACCCAGGCAUGGAGUGCGGUGGCGAGUAGGAGGGUCGCCGUGGUGAGCGUGGAAGCUUCGGGCGUGAGCCUGAGUGGAGCCGCCACGGGUGCAGAUCUUGGUGGUAGUAGCAAAUAUUCCAAUGAAA